UCCUACGGGGGGCAGCAGUCGGGAAUAUUGCACAAUGGAGGAAACUCUGAUGCAGUGACACCGCGUAUAGGAAGAAGGUUUUCGGAUUGUAAACUAUUUUAGACAGGGAAGAAAAAAGACAGUACCUGUAGAAUAAGCUCCGGCUAACUACGUGCCAGCAGCCGCGGUAAUACGUAGGGGGCAAGCGUUAUCCGGAAUUACUGGGUGUAAAGGGAGCGUAGACGGUGAUGCAAGUCUGGAGUGAAAGGCGGGGGCCCAACCCCCGGACUGCUCUGGAAACUGUAUGACUUGAGUGCAGGAGAGGG
rnacentral:rRNA from 1 species